rnacentral:lncRNA from 1 species
GCCGGGUUGACCCUAUAAAUGAGUACUCGGUGUCUCCUGGGGAGGGGGAGAUGGAAUGCCAGGGUAACAUUUGUUGCUGUUAUUCCAUCACAUGCUGUUUUUUUUUUUUUUCUGUAAUAUUUCUGCCUUCAAACAAAACUCCCCCCUCCUCCCGUCAGCCUGCAUUUCAUUGCCUGGCUUCCCACAGUCUCCCUUGGGUUUGAGCCUGUGUGAAUGCAAUUCUUUGGGUCUGACUCAGAUCAUAUUACACAGAACAGCGAGGUGAGCACGUCAGACCUGCUGAGCUGGGCUGGGCAGGGCAGGUGGGUGUCAGCUCUUCUACACAGCAGCCGGGGCUGCCUUCCCUCCCCAAGCUGGGAGAGAGUUCCUGUUUGUAGGAGGCACGUUAUUCCUGGAUAGGGUCACAGCAGGAGUCCACACCCUAUGCUGGUUCAUGAUCUGCCCUAAGUCCUGCCUCCUGUCUGUACACAGGUGAUCACCUCUGCAAACAGCUACAAUAGGACAAGGAGGUGCUCUGGGAGCGAAACUGGAUUUUUGUUGCACUCCACCUGGUUUCUUGCUCCUAAAAUGGCUGUCAGACCUCACUUCCAGG